UAAGUUUAUGUGUCUCCAGCUGUGUCUUUUCCUUCUGGAUGGACUCCCACCAAUACUACAGCAGUUGCUUCAGCCCCAUCUUUUGUUGCUUCAGGCCACGCUCCCUGGAUGGCUGCUGGACCAGGUUCACUGCUUUGCCCUACCUGGGCCUGUCGAUGGGCCCUGCUACCAGUACCCAGCUCUGCCUGCUGUAUUUGGGUGCUCAGGAACGUGCCCUGGUCAGUGAGGGGCUGAGUCAGCCCCUGCUCCCAGCUCACCUCCCUUAGCAGCAACCUGUCUUCAGCAUCAACUGCAAAGAUAUACUAUAAGAUUAACCACAAGCCCCAGUCAGAAGAGGGAGCUAGUCUUGUGUUGUCAGAAAAUAUGUAGGAGGUAAGAGUCUAACCCUGAAGAGCCUGCAUUCCAGUUUAAGACAAAAUACAGUGUGGAGAGAAAAAAAGAGAAAGGAAAUAAGAGUAGCAAAAUACAUCAACAAGAAGAAGCUAAACUAAAACCUAUAAGCAGCAAAAUGGUUCUAAAUUAUGGAGCUGUCUUUAAUUUAAAAGCUCUCCUUGAUCCCAGCAGCUCUCUAUUCUACCAUGAAAUACAAAUUUUAUGGACUCUUCUAUUUUUAUACAGAUGGUCUUGGAUAGAACUUUUCCUCCUACAAUAGGAAAGCUUUGCUUUAAAGCCUCCACUCCCACACAUCAACAUUAAGCCACUGAGGAGAAGCAAAAGGCAGCAGCCACAAAACAGAUGCCCAAAAGAAAAGGGAUCCUUCUAAUUUUCAUCCUGAAGUAAUAACAAGCCAGUAUGGAGAAUUACAGGGGCAAAAGAAGCAGAAGAAAAUAAAAGCAUAUGAAUCAUCCUCGUUAUUAAAAUACCCAAUUAAAAAAAAAAAAAAACAACUCUCAAACUAAAACCAAUCAUUAAGUAUACCCCUUCCAAUUCUACAUCAAAUAAUAAAGGGAAAAUAAAAAAGUGACAUUUGCAUUUAAACAGCUAGGUACUUUCAGAAACCUCCCUCCCCAAAAUCACCAAAAACUUUUGUGAUAAUUAGAGCAAUUGAAAUAUGGAGGGGGGGGGAUCAUUGCAAGCACUAUGUGCAGCUUUCUUAACUGUCUUUUAAGUUGUUUUUACGGAUGAAAGUAAACAGGAAACUGCAAGAAUAUUUGGUAAUUGGCUAUUCAGCAAAAAGGACAAAUAAGGAACAGGAAGGUAAUUAAAUAUGUAGAUGCACAUCCUCUAACACUCUGCAGAUAAGAGAGUAACAAAGAAAGAACACAUGGGAUGCUGAUGGAUGGGCUUGAGUGUGAACGACUUGCGUGACCUUGAAAAAACUCAACCAGAAACUUUUUAAGAAGUAGGAAAACAACAUUACUAAGGGUUACCAGCA